rnacentral:lncRNA from 1 species
UACUAUUAUAGAUAGCGAUAAACUGUAAACAGCAAUAAUGUUCAGCAAAGUAAGAUCUACAAAUAAGUCAACAUGACCUAAAUGGUCAAUUGACCCCUUAAGGAGUUAUUGCCCUUUAUAGUCAAUUUUUAACAAUUUUCCAUUAAUUUGGUAAAUUUAUGUAAAUUUUUACCAAUAUAGUUUCUCUGUUACUAAUGGGCAAAGUUCAUGAUAGAUAUAAUUGUAAGAAGCAAAAUCGUUCAGUAAAGUAAGAACUUCAAACACAUCACCAUCAC